GAUGAACGCUGGCGGCGUGCCUAAUACAUGCAAGUCGAACGCAUAGCGAAAGGUGCUUGCACCUUUCAAGUGAGUGGCGAACGGGUGAGUAACACGUGGACAACCUGCCUCAAGGCUGGGGAUAACAUUUGGAAACAGAUGCUAAUACCGAAUAAAACUUAGUGUCGCAUGACACAAAGUUAAAAGGCGCUUCGGCGUCACCUAGAGAUGGAUCCGCGGUGCAUUAGUUAGUUGGUGGGGUAAAGGCCUACCAGGACAAUGAUGCAUAGCCGAGUUGAGAGACUGAUCGGCCACAUUGGGACUGAGACACGGCCCAAACUCCUACGGGAGGCUGCAGUAGGGAAUCUUCCACAAUGGGCGAAAGCCUGAUGGAGCAACGCCGCGUGUGUGAUGAAGGCUUUCGGGUCGUAAAGCACUGUUGUAUGGGAAGAACAGCUAGAAUAGGAAAUGAUUUUAGUUUGACGGUACCAGACCAGAAAGGGACGGCUAAAUACGUG
rnacentral:rRNA from 1 species